ACUCAAAUGAAUAGACGGGGGCCCGCACAAGCGGCGGAGCAUGUUGCUUAAUUCGAUGCAACGCGAAGAACCUUACCUGGGUUUGACAUGCAGGGAAAAGCCACAGAGAUGUGGUGUCCUACGGGGCCUUGCACAGGUGGUGCAUGGCUGUCGUCAGCUCGUGUCGUGAGAUGUUGGGUUAAGUCCCGCAACGAGCGCAACCCUUGUCCUGUGUUGCCAGCGGAUAACGCCGGGGACUCGCAGGAGACUGCCGGGGUCAACUCGGAGGAAGGUGGGGAUGACGUCAAGUCUUCAUGCCCCUUACAUCCAGGGCUGCAAACAUGCUACAAUGGCCGGUACAAAGGGCUGCGAACUCGCGAGAGCAAGCGAAUCCCAAAAAGCCGGUCUCAGUUCGGAUUGGAGUCUGCAACUCGACUCCAUGAAGUCGGAGUCGCUAGUAAUCCCGGAUCAGCAACGCCGGGGUGAAUACGUUCCCGGGCCUUGCACACACCGCCCGU
rnacentral:rRNA from 1 species